UACGUAGGGUGCAAGCGUUGUCCGGAAUUAUUGGGCGUAAAGAGCUCGUAGGCGGUCUGUCGCGUCGGCUGUGAAAACUCGGGGCUCAACUCCGAGCUUGCAGUCGAUACGGGCAGGCUAGAGUUCGGCAGGGGGAGACUGGAAUUCCUGGUGUAGCGGUGAAAUGCGCAGAUAUCAGGAGGAACACCGGUGGCGAAGGCGGGUCUCUGGGCCGAUACUGACACUGAGGAGCGAAAGCGUGGGGAGCGAAACAGG
rnacentral:rRNA from 1 species